AGCUUUGGAUGCAACGCUGUCUUCAAAGAAGAGUUGCCACGCCACACACAUACACAAAAAAAAUAGCUGGAGCAGUGGGGUGUCACGGGAAAAAUUUAGCACCACAUUAGAAGCAAUUGCACGUGAAUCUUAGAAAAUUGGGCUGCACCACAUCUUACCCAUCCAGUCUUCACGUGUCCAAGAAAAUCAGCACAACAGCUACCACACGGACACAUGGAUGUUGGGCCCAGCAGCUUUGGCAGCAGCACCUCAAAGUUUAAAUAAAAAUAGAAGAGGAGUUGGUUUGCUGCACAUUCAGGCUUUCACGGUCCUGCCAGCCUUCACGCAUCCAGUUGCAGCACGACCCUAAGUUUGGAAGAAGUGGUGCGUCCAGCAAGGCUUGGCCAUUAAUAUCAUCAACAAGCAUCCAAGCAGCCAUGACACAACAGCAAGUCUAGCAACUCCACAAAAGUCCAUCACAUGGUGGCAGAAAUUCACAGCCCAUAGGCAUCUUCACGGUCCAGCAAACAUUAUAGCUGCAGCCCAUCUAUCAACACAUGGCCCAACAGCGUUGAUGAAGGAGCUUCACACAUCCAACCUUCAUCAAGAGCAAGCAACAGCAGCACGUGGUGCAGCUUGAAAGGAGGUGCAUCCAGCAAGCCUUGGUUGCAACUGGUCCAACACCUUGGAGAAAAAUUAACACGCUGGCAGUAGGGCACAUAGAGAAUGUUGUCUCUCGGGAUUGCUUCAAAAAGGACACAACCGUCACUUCUAGGAGGGAGAAACCAUGGGUUUUAUUUUUGAUUUUGGAUGAACCAGAGGAAGAGAGCUCUUGUUUUAUUUUUUUCAGCUUUGAUGUUCGGUUAUUUUCUUUUAGCACAUAGUUGCUUUUGUUUUUGAUUGAAAGAAGUUGAAUUUUAUUUUUCUCGUAGAAUUAGAAUGUUGAAUGAAAUGAGUAGUGCAUGGAGUAGCAACUCACCGUUACAUAUUCAUCUUUUACACACAUUCAUUUUGCUGGAGCGUGAAUUUAUUUUUCAUUUUUUGCUUUCAAGAGAGGAUGCGCUGAUUUUAUUUAGGGGUAUUGCACGCUGUUGAGUUUUGAUUUUAGAAGCACCUUCGUUUACUUUAGAAAUGAAACGUAUGAAAUUUUUCUUUCAAUUGUUAGGUGCACACGGGUUGCUUAGUAAAGUUUCCAUAUUUAAUUUCCUUUAUUAACGCAUGAUCUGGGAAACAUCUCUCACUGUUGAUGCAUUU
rnacentral:lncRNA from 1 species